AAAUAAGAAGCAAAAAUGCAAUUAGUUUCGACCUAAUAAUUGAUAAUAUUAAAUUAUCCUUAUUUU
rnacentral:tRNA from 1 species